CAGCUAAGUUCUGAGAGACCCAUUUAUUGUUAAAAUCUUCAUAAGGAGCAUGGAUUUGGGAGGACCCAGAAUAUAUUCAGGGACUCCUGAAUAUGAGUUCUAGCACAGUUCCUUUCUGGAGUUCAGCAAUAAAGACAAGGAGAAAUGGGAAUCACUAGUAUAUAAAAGUUGUGCUAUCUCCUUGCAGUGAAGAAAAAUGCAUUUAUCAAAAACUCAAUGACUAAAAAGGAAACAACAGUGACUCUGCUAUCGGAAUUGCUAAUAGGCAAAGUGACAACUACAGUCAGCAGGUAAAAGGCUGGCAACAGAAAACUGUGUUUGCAUUUUAUAAGAAAACUAUCAGAAACUUAGGAGUAAGGAAAUCCUCUUGUAAAAGGUUUUGAUCUUGCGGUUAAAACAUGAGCUGUGGGAAACAGUAAAAGAAAGGAAGAGGACAUUCAAACUCAGCAUACAUGAGUUUUAUACACAGUCAAGGGGAAAUGGAUCAAAUUAAGAAGCACAUUCAAGUGUUACAAUCUCAACUGGCCUUUUCAAAAGGAUAUUGAGAGACACCAAAGCGAAAAAGAAAUGGAUUUCUAGAGUCGGUAUAGUCAGAUUUCAUCCUGCAGAUAAUAAAUUAAAGAUGCAAGGAGUCUUUCAGCAGCAACUGGAGUAUAAAGAAGGCUUCAGAAGGUAAGGGAAUUAAAGGAAAAGCAUUGUUCGGGGGAGGAGUAUAUGCAAAUGAUUGCACUAGGCCCAAAGAGACAGGUUUGGAAAGCAAAAGAGAUUCCAACUCCAGUUCAUCAGUCUACUUCUUUAGCAGAGACAAAUGUGAACUCAGGAAGAAAUCUUUUCUGGGAGGAAGGUUCCAACGUCUAAGGAUUCAGGGGCUGAUACUACAGAAUGUGGGAGAAUUUCAGGUUGGAAGAAGUCCAUGUGGAGGUGCUAAAAACACUCCAGUAUGUCCAACAGAAGGAUGCAGGCCAUCAGGGCACUACUGAUGAAGAAGAAACCUCCUUUCAAUACCAAGACGAGUGAGUUCUCCUUUGAGACCCAGCAAAAUAAGAAGAAAAUGCAGAAGAGAGAAGGCUUUUAAAUAUAAUCUAGAACUUUACCUGUAAAAAGGCAGACGAGGUUUCAUUUCAGUUAUUAAAUUUCCCUAUGGUAAAUAGAGGUUUAUAUAGUAACAUGAAGGGUUAAUAUUGUUAAAAUGUACAGAUUUAGUUGCAAAAUUGGGGCAUUUUAAAUUGGUGGCUUUGUGUUAUUUGGGUUCUGCUAUUAGCUGACUCAUCUUAUAUAAGCUUAUCUAGUGAAUAGGUACGAGAAGGGGAAAUAGAAAUCUGGAUAAUUUAUCAUAAUAUAUAUAGUAUGCCCUUGGGGGUCACUCAAUUAAUUCCUGUACUGACCCAUAUUAGAGGCUUUUAGGGACAGUAUCAAAAGGGAUUUUCAUGAUGGCCUAAGGAGAUGGUCUGCCAGUCUAACAGGUCCCUGCUAGACUGCAAGCUCUGUGGAAAUAAAAAUUAGGAAAUUUUAAUUAUGUUGACAUACUUUAGUUGUAAAAAUGUGGGUUAAAUUAUAUUUAUGAACAUAUGUAGUUGAAUACAAACAUUCUGUUGAAAAUUUCCUUCUCAGCAAGGCAGGAAAUUGAAGGAACAAGAAUAUAAAUGAAGAUGCUAGCCAGAUGGAAAAUUGCUUUUUGAAAGAUGAAAUUGUGCAUGCUUUGUUUCUUGUCAAUGUUGAUUAAGAGAACUUUUCCAUAUUUAUCGAUAAUUAGUACAACAAAAUAAGACUCUGAGAAGAUUGAAUGUCUGACUACAUCUUUUAAAUUUAAGAUUUUAAAUAUUUAAUUUUGUCAACUGUAUCUGUGAUCAGAAGUUGUAUUUCUUGGCUUAAAUAAUAUAUUUGCAUUAAAAUUUGAAUUUCCU
rnacentral:lncRNA from 9 species